CCCAUAAAUAAAUCGGAAGUAUAUGUAUUUGAUCUCUACACUUUACAUGGUCGCGUAUCCUUGAAUCAGGAGAUGAAUUACACGAACACAUCCACACAAUCAACAACGGAAGCAACAAAUCCCAAAACAAACAGUAAACCCUUUGUGCUAUGCAUUCUAGCAGAAGAGGUAGCCGAAAGCAGCUGCCGCGACCGAUACGGCGGCGAAGGCUGGCGCUGCGGCGGUGGCGCCGGACGUGGGCGCCGGGGCGGGCGCGUCGGCCGCAGAGGCCGGGGCGACCAGAGACGAGGCGACGACCACGGCGGCUGCGGCCGCGGCGAGGAUCUUGGCCUUCAACUGCCCUGCCAUCUUUCGCUAGCUUCUUUGGAUGGGGAGGCGAUCGACGGAGCGAGGAGCUGAGAAAACAGCGGCAGGAAGCUAAGAACUUGUGGUCGCCGUCGUUGUUUCGAUGGAUUGGUAUAGGAGGAAGAGGCAAGCAUAUAUAGCUGCGAUGCUGCAAGAGUCCGAGUGUGGUUCGUCGGCCGGCUGCGUGCCGCCUGCUGCUGCCUAAUGCUGGGCUGGCGAACGGGAGGACGGACCGGCUGUCGCGUACCUGGCGUGUCGGUUCGGUGUGGGUGAUUGGAAGGUUUCAUCACGAGGCGGGGGUGGUUUUCGGCGCUGGUGCCGGUUGGCGCGCCAGCUGGGUGCCGGACCUGUCGUUGCGUUGGCGCCGC
rnacentral:lncRNA from 1 species